rnacentral:rRNA from 1 species
UACAGAGGGUGCAAGCGUUGUUCGGAAUUAUUGGGCGUAAAGCGCGUGUAGGCGGCUUUGCAAGUCGGGUGUGAAAGCCCACGGCUCAACCGUGGAAGUGCAUCCGAAACUGCAUGGCUUGAGUCUCGGAGAGGAAGGUGGAAUGCUUGGUGUAGAGGUGAAAUUCGUAGAUAUCGAGAGGAACACCAGUGGCGAAGGCGAGUCCCUGGACAACACCUGACACUGAGGCACGAAAGCUAGGGGAGCAAACAGG